UCCAGUUCACCUUCUCUUGGUCUUGGUUCUGGUCACUUUUAGGAUCAACCGGAGUCUUGAACCCAGCACAGAACCGCACGCACCCAGCUACCCCCGAUGUGCCUUCAACACCAUGGCAAGUUGUGAGAGUUGGGAACCACUCGUGCAGGCCAAAGAAGUCCUCCAAAAGAGGCCAAAUUUGCUCUGCUUUGGGGCCUUUUAGCUCUGCACUUGCCUUGCCUUCCCAUUUCAAUUGUUUCUCAAGUGCCAUUUGGUUUUCAGGACAAGAAAGC
rnacentral:lncRNA from 1 species